UACGAUGAGUGCCUGGAGGAGGUGCAGU
rnacentral:piRNA from 1 species